AGCACAAUUGCUGGAUUAUAUGAUAAGGCAAUGUUGAUCUUAGUCAGACACUGCCAAAUUGUCUUCCAAAGUGGCUCUUCCAUUUUACAUUCCCACCAGCAAU
rnacentral:pre_miRNA from 1 species